CCUGGCGGCCGUAGCGCGGUGGUCCCACCUGACCCCAUGCCGAACUCAGAAGUGAAACGCCGUAGCGCCAAUGGUAGUGUGGGGUCUCCCCAUGCGAGAGUAGGGAACUGCCAGGC
rnacentral:rRNA from 3 species